rnacentral:lncRNA from 1 species
AGCAAUUCUAUACUGUUUCUGCUUUUGCUAUUUGUGCGCCGGGUUUGACAGUCCGGUUUACGCGUAGCAGAACACUUUUGCUUCUGCUUUUAUGAUGUUUUCUGACCAUUCAGCAGAGGCUGCUGUGCUUGUUUCCACCUCUCUCUCUCUCUCUCUCUGGUUUGGGUUGUGAUUUAAAGGGGAGGGGGCGGAAGCUAAAGAUAAAUUGCCAGGUGGGUUCAUUAGCUUGGUUCAUUCACUAGGGAUCCAAAUGUCUGAGUGUUUCGGCGGCCUUUUUUACCUCUGAAUUAUACAAGAAGAAACAGAUGGUUCUGGAGGAUUGAAUGUUAAAUUUCAUUCUAAAGUUGGAUUUUUUUUUUAGGAAAAGGAAAAAAGCAGUAGUGAAGCUUCCAUUAAAUCUUGACGUUUUGAUAAUAAUUUGUUUUGAGAAAUAGGCUGUUCCUUGUCUGCAGAGGUUUACCUGUGUGGUAGCACUUUUUUUUCCCCCGUUUUUGGGAGUAAUUAAGUGAAAUUUGUGUUUAAGCUCUUUUUUCUUGGGCAGCAGAGGAGGGAGAACAUCAUCUCAUGUUUUGCUUUUCUCUGCAGUAGGUAAGAUUUUGUUUUCUUGCUUU